rnacentral:ribozyme from 1 species
AGAUUUUAUUGCAUCAAUCAUUAUAUAUCGUUAUCGUUAUCAUUAAAAAAAAAAAAAAAAAAAAAAAAAAAAAACACGUUUUUUUACCCAUAAACAUUUA